rnacentral:rRNA from 1 species
CCGGAUCCCAUCAGAACUCCAAAGUUAAGCGUGCUUGGGCGAGAGUAGUACUAGGAUGGGUAACCUCCAGGGAAGUCCUCGUGUUGCAUUCC